GCAAGUCGAACGGCAGCACGGACUUCGGUCUGGUGGCGAGUGGCGAACGGGUGAGUAACAUAUCGGAACGUGCCCUGGAGUGGGGGAUAACUAGUCGAAAGAUUAGCUAAUACCGCAUACGAUCUACGGAUGAAAGUGGGGGAUCGCAAGACCUCAUGCUCGUGGAGCGGCCGAUAUCUGAUUAGCUAGUUGGUGGGGUAAAGGCCUACCAAGGCAUCGAUCAGUAGCUGGUCUGAGAGGACGACC
rnacentral:rRNA from 1 species